CCUACGGGAGGCAGCAGUGAGGAAUAUUGGUCAAUGGCCGGAAUGCUGAACCAGCCAUGCCGCGUGAAGGUCAGUGCCCUAUGGGCGUUAAACUUCUUUUGUGCGGGAGCAAUAAUGGUCACGUGUGGCCAGACGAGAGUUCCGUACGAAUAAGCAUCGGCUUACUCCGUGCCAGCAGCCGCGGUAAUACGGGGGAUGCAAGCGUUAUCCGGAGUUAUUGGGUUUAAAGGGUGCGUAGGGUGGGAGGUAAGUUAGCGGGGAAAUGCCCCCGCUCAACGGGGUGAAGUGCCAUUGAUACUGGCUGGCUGGAAUGCGGGAGCAGUGCGAGGAAUGUGUGGUGUAGCGGUGAAAUGCAUAGAUAUCACACAGAACACCGAUUGCGAAGGCAUCUCACGAAUGCGCGAUUGACGCUGAUGCACGAAAGCGUGGGUAUCAAACAGGAUUAGAUACCCCAGUAGUC
rnacentral:rRNA from 1 species